GAACGCACAUUGCGCCCGCCAGUAUUCUGGCGGGCAUGCCUGUUCGAGCGUCAUUGCAACCCCUCAGGCCCUGCCUGGCGUUGGAGGACUGCGCUACGCAGCCUCCCAAAGCAAGCGGCGGCGGCGCCCCAAAUCCGAACGCAGUAGUUCUCUCUCGUUCUGGGUGCUGGGACGGCGUCCGGCCGGAAAACCCCCAUCUUAUAACGUGGUUGACCUCGAAUCAGGUAGGAAUACCCGCUGAACUUAA
rnacentral:misc_RNA from 1 species